AGCUCCAAUAGCGUAUAUUAAAGUUGCUGCGGUUGAAAAGCUCGUAGUUGGAUCUCUGCCAAGGACAGCUGGUCCGCCCUCUGGGUGAGCACCUGGAUUGGCCUCGGCAUCUUCUUGGAGAACGCAGCUGCACUUGACUGUGUGGUGUGGUAUCCAAGGCCUUUACUUUGAGGAAAUUAGAGUGCUUCAAGCAGGCUUCCGCCUUGAAUACAUUAGCAUGGAAUAAUAGGAUAAGAUCGCAGCUCUAUUUUGUUGGCUUCUAGAGCUGAGGUGAUGAUGAAUAGGGAUAGUUGGGGGCAUUCGCAUUUGACUGUCAGAGGUGAAAUUCUUGGAUUUGUUGAAGACGAUCUGAUGCGAAAGCAUUUGCCAAGGAUGUUUUCA
rnacentral:rRNA from 1 species